CACGCACGUUGAAAAGUGCGGGGAUGAGGUGUGGGUAGCGGAGAAAUUCCAAUCGAACCUGGAGAUAGCUGGUUCUCUCCGAAAUAGCUUUAGGGCUAGCCUCAUGUUGUAAGAGUCUUGGAGGUAGAGCACUGAUUGGACUAGGGGCCCCCAACGGGUUACCGAAUUCAGUCAAACUCCGAAUGCCAAAGACUUAUCCAUGGGAGUCAGACUGCGAGUGAUAAGAUCCGUAGUCAAAAGGGAAACAG
rnacentral:rRNA from 1 species